rnacentral:rRNA from 1 species
AACGAACGCUGGCGGCAGGCUUAACACAUGCAAGUCGAACGCAUCCUUCGGGGUGAGUGGCAGACGGGUGAGUAACGCGUGGGAACGUGCCCUUCAGUUCGGGAUAACCCAGGGAAACUUGGGCUAAUACCGGAUACGUGCGAGAGCAGAAAGAUUUAUCGCUGAAGGAUCGGCCCGCGUCUGAUUAGCUAGUUGGUGGGGUAAUGGCCCACCAAGGCGACGAUCAGUGGCUGGUCUGAGAGGAUGAUCAGCCACAUUGGGACUGAGACACGGCCCAAACUCCUACGGGAGGCAGCAGUGGGGAAUAUUGGACAAUGGGCGCAAGCCUGAUCCAGCCAUGCCGCGUGAGUGAUGAAGGCCUUAGGGUUGUAAAGCUCUUUCGUCCGGACGAUAGUGACGGUACCGGAAGAAGAAGCCCCGGCUAACUUCGUGCCAGCCGCCGCCGUAA